AAUUAGCUAGCAUUUUAUCUGG
rnacentral:misc_RNA from 1 species